GCCCGGUUAGCUCAAUCGGUAGAGCGUGAGACUCUUAAUCUCAAGGUUGCGGGUAAGUUACCAUAUUUCAUCGCACGAACCGCGUUCGACUAAGAUACUGACAACCUUGCCAGGUUCGACCCCCGCAUCGGGCU